AUGGAGGCUUGGAGGAGGAAUGCCCUGCGCUGCGCGCUUCUCGUGCUGCUCCUCGCCAUUUCAAGCGGGGUGGCGAGGGCUCAGGGGGGCGGCGAGUGCUGGAGCACGGACAUGGGGUACGGCAUCUGCGUGAAGCCCGGGGGGUGCAGAGCUGCCUGCCAUGCCCUCGGCAAGAACGACGGCCAGUGCAACGGGGGCUACUUCUGGCCGGUCUGCGAGUGCCUGUCUCCACACUGCCACUAG
rnacentral:rRNA from 1 species